GACGAACGCUGGCGGCGUGCUUAACACAUGCAAGUCGAACGGAAGGGCCCUGCUUGCUGGGUCUUCGGGGGGCGAAGGGGUGAGUAACAGGGGGGUAAUCUGCCCUCUACUUUGUGAUAAGCCUGGGAAACUGGGUCUAAUCCCGAAUAGGGCCCAUUUUUUGUGUGUGGGUUGGAAGGAUUUUUCGGUCUAGGAUGAUUUAGUGGCCUAUUAGCUUGUUGGCGGGGUAAUGGCCUACCAGGGCGGCGACGGGUAGCCGGCUUGAGGGGGUGGACGGCCACAUUAGGACUGGGAUACAGGCCAGACUCCUAAGGGAGGGAGAAGUGGGGAAUAUUGCACAAUGGGAGCAAGCCUGAUGCAGCGACGCCGCGUGGGGGAUGACGGCCUUCGGGUUGUAAAAUCCUUUCGCUAGGGACGAAGCUUUUUGUGACGGUACCUAGAUAAGAAGCACCGGCUAACUACGUG
rnacentral:rRNA from 1 species